CUACGGGGGGCAGCAGUGAGGAAUUUUGCGCAAUGGGGGGAGCCCUGACGCAGCGACGCCACGUGAGUGAUGAAGGCCUUUGGGUCGUAAAGCUCUGUCAGUGGGAAAGAAGUUAUGUGAGGUUAAUAGCCUUAUAUAUUGACGGUACCCACAAAGGAAGCACCGGCUAACUCCGUGCCAGCAGCCGCGGUAAUACGGGGGGUGCAAGCGUUAAUCGGAAUUAUUGGGCGUAAAGGGAGUGCAGGCUGUGGAAUAGGUCAGAUGUGAAAUCCCGGGGCUUAACCCUGGAAGAGCAUUUGAAACCAUUUUACUUGAGUAUGGGAGAGGGUAGUGGAAUUCCUGGUGUAGAGGUGAAAUUCGUAGAUAUCAGGAGGAACACCAGUGGCGAAGGCGGCUACCUGGACCAAUACUGACGCUGAGACUCGAAGGCGUGGGUAGCAAACAGGAUUAGAUACCCUGGUAGUC
rnacentral:rRNA from 1 species